CUUGGGCAAAUUAAAAAAGAGGUUGGACGAUCACCUGUCGGGGGUCAGCAUUCAUUCCUGCCUGUGGCAGGGGGUCAGGCUACAUGAUCUGUUCAGGUCCCUCCUGACCCUAGCUACUAUAAACUAUCUGCUUGCUUUUGUAUGAUAGGAUUGAAAAGACCUAUCUUUCUGUCAUUUCCUGAAACAAGGUGUGCAACCAAGCAGUAUGGAUACAAAGCAAAUAAAACUGCGUAAGGAAGUAUUUUUGUCAAAGUAUUGUGGACUUGUGGGUUGUUUAAUACUUCUCUUAAAUUGUUGAUAAAGUCAAAAGACAUGGUCUCACUUUUUUCCUGUUAACAGACCAAAUCUGCAUUCCUAGUUGUUCCCAUAAAACUACAGUAAAAUAGGACUUGAGAUUUCUGAUGAACAAAACCCUGCUUAAGUAAAACAUUUAAAUCCUUUUUUCAGAUCACCAUUUUGUCAUAAAAGCCUUCCAACAAAAGUCUAUUUCACCCUCUUCCUUUUGAAUCACGUUUAAUAGUGGCUGAUUCCAAACAAAUUUAAGCAAAAAUCCCAGUAGCUUCUCUGUUUUUUACAUAUUCCCCUGAGGCCUGGAUUGCAGUCAUUCCCUCACCUCCCGUCUUCUGGAUUACUGCAGGGCAGGAGAACAAAAAGUGGAUUGAGCAUUGCCUACAUGAGACAAAAGACCGUCUCUCUGCUCAUCUGUAUGUACCUCCAUGAGCAGGUGGUUCCUGGUUGGCAGAUGCCGGGGACUGUCCCACACUCAGCAGCUGCAGAGACGUGCAUGAUUUGUGUCUCAAACGCAGUAGAGAACCAGUCACAAUCCAUACUUGGAUGGCGUGGGGAAGGUGACUGCAGCUGAAUUAAAGCAUUCAAAAGCGGAAGCACCAACCGAUGGUUUCCAACAUGAAAUUUGCUGCCAGCAGGUGCAGCUGGAAGUUGGCAGGACUUUGGUGGCUUUGCUGCUGCCCUGUCACCGACCGGCAGUGGAAAUGAGUGGCGAGAGGUGGCGAACCUUACACCGAGCUGUAGUCGGUCAUUCUCUGUUUGGAUCUACAAAUGCUGUGGGUACUGAUCCAAGCGCUGCUGUAACAGGAAGGACUGAGAUCCUCACCUCCGCACACCGUGCUCCCGGAUCCUCGGCACAGGAGUUUGAGCAUGCGGCGCCCACACCUUGGGGGCUGAGUAGCUCUUAAGAUAUUGGGCAAAAGGAAGUGGAGAGGGCUUCUCCUUUGUCCUGUUGCCGCUGUUAAGGAACAAGAUCCAGAUCCACUAGUGUUUAGGUGAUCAGCAAAUACAUUAAUAAAAUAUUUGAAUGAUAUUUCUUUUUC